GACGGAGGGUGCGAGCGUUGUUCGGAAUUACUGGGCGUAAAGCGCGCGCAGGUGGGUGCGCAAGUCGGAGGUGAAAGCGCGGGGCUCAACCCCGCGACGCCCUUCGAGACUGCGUGUCUAGGGACCGGUACAGGUGAGUGGAAUUCCCGGUGUAGCGGUGGAAUGCGUAGAUAUCGGGAAGAACACCGGAGGCGAAGGCGGCUCACUGGGCCGGAUCCGACACUGAGGCGCGAAAGCGUGGGGAGCAAACAGG
rnacentral:rRNA from 1 species